AUUGAACGCUGGCGGCAUGCUUUACACAUGCAAGUCGAACGGUAACAGGGUGCUUGCACCGCUGACGAGUGGCGAACGGGUGAGUAAUGCGUCGGAACGUGCCGAGUAGUGGGGGAUAACGCAGCGAAAGUUGUGCUAAUACCGCAUACGUACUGAGGUAGAAAGUGGGGGACCUCCGGGCCUCACGCUAUUCGAGCGGCCGACGUCUGAUUAGCUAGUAGGUGAGGUAAAGGCUCACCUAGGCGACGAUCAGUAGCGGGUCUGAGAGGAUGAUCCGCCACACUGGGACUGAGACACGGCCCAGACUCCUACGGGAGGCAGCAGUGGGGAAUUUUGGACAAUGGGCGAAAGCCUGAUCCAGCCAUGCCGCGUGUCUGAAGAAGGCCUUCGGGUUGUAAAGGACUUUUGUCGGGGAGGAAAUCCCCAGCGUUAAUACCGCUGGGGGAUGACAGUACCUGAAGAAUAAGCACCGGCUAACUCUGUGCCAGCCGCCGCGGUAA
rnacentral:rRNA from 1 species